rnacentral:rRNA from 1 species
GAUGAACGCUGGCGGCGUGCCUAAUACAUGCAAGUCGAGCGAAGCGGGGACGGGUGAGUAACACGUGGAUAACCUCCUAUAAGACUGGGAUAACCUCGGGAAACCGGAGCUAAACCGGAUAAUUAUAGAUGGCUCCGCGCUGCAUUAGCUAGUUGGUAAGGUAACGGCUUACCAAGGCAACGAUGCAUAGCCGACCUGAGAGGGUGAUCGGCCACACUGAAACGGAGACACGGUCCAGACUCCUACGGGAGGCAGCAGUAGGGAAUCGGCCGCAAUGGGCGGAAGCCUGACGGAGCAACGCCGCGUGAGUGAUGAAGGUCUUCGGAUCGUAAAACUCUGUUAUUAGGGAAGCGGUACCUAAUCAGAAAGCCACGGCUAACUACGUACCAGCAGCCGCGGUAAUUC